rnacentral:rRNA from 1 species
GACGAACGCUGGCGGCGUGCCUAAUACAUGCAAGUUGAGCGCUGAAGGUUGGUACUUGUACCAACUGGAUGAGCAGCGAACGGGUGAGUAACGCGUGGGGAAUCUGCCUUUGAGCGGGGGACAACAUUUGGAAACGAAUGCUAAUACCGCAUAAAAACUUUAAACACAAGUUUUAAGUUUGAAAGAUGCAAUUGCAUCACUCAAAGAUGAUCCCGCGUUGUAUUAGCUAGUUGGUGAGGUAAAGGCUCACCAAGGCGAUGAUACAUAGCCGACCUGAGAGGGUGAUCGGCAACAUUGGGACUGAGACACGGCCCAAACUCCUACGGGAGGCAGCAGUAGGGAAGCUUCGGCAAUGGACGAAAGUCUGACCGAGCAACGCCGCGGGAGGGAAGAAGGGUGUCGGAUCGUAAAACUCGGUUGGUAGAGAAGAACGUUGGUGAGAGUGGAAAGCUCAUCAAGUGACGGUAACUACCCAGAAAGGGACGGCUAACUACGUG